AGUGAACGCUGGCGGUAGGCCUAACACAUGCAAGUCGAACGGCAGCACAGUAAGAGCUUGCUCUUACGGGUGGCGAGUGGCGGACGGGUGAGGAAUACAUCGGAAUCUACUUUUUCGUGGGGGAUAACGUAGGGAAACUUACGCUAAUACCGCAUACGACCUACGGGUGAAAGCAGGGGAUCUUCGGACCUUGCGCGAUUGAAUGAGCCGAUGUCGGAUUAGCUAGUUGGCGGGGUAAAGGCCCACCAAGGCGACGAUCCGUAGCUGGUCUGAGAGGAUGAUCAGCCACACUGGAACUGAGACACGGUCCAGACUCCUACGGGAAGCAGCAGUGGGGAAUAUUGGACAAUGGGCGCAAGCCUGAUCCAGCCAUACCGCGUGGGUGAAGAAGGCCUUCGGGUUGUAAAGCCCUUUUGUUGGGAAAGAAAAGCAGCAGGUUAAUACCCCGCUGUUCUGACGGUACCCAAAGAAUAAGCACCGGCUAACUUCG
rnacentral:rRNA from 1 species